rnacentral:rRNA from 1 species
UACGUAGGGUGCGAGCGUUAAUCGGAAUUACUGGGCGUAAAGUGUGCGCAGGCGGCCGAGCAAGUCGAGUGUGAAAGCCCCGAGCUUAACUUGGGAACUGCGCUCGAAACUACUUGGCUGGAAUGUGGCAGAGGAAGGUGGAAUUCCACGUGUAGCGGUGAAAUGCGUGGAGAUGUGGAGGAACACCGAUGGCGAAGGCAGCCUUCUGGGCCAACACUGACGCUCAUGCACGAAAGCGUGGGGAGCAAACAGG